CCCACAGCAUGAUUUCUAUUUGAUAUUUGCAAGAAGUGAGGUUGUAUUCAGUAAGAUUUUUCCAUUCAAGCCAUUACUAGGUUGUCUGUUUUGUUUUUUACCUACCUGUCUCUACAUUUCUUUUACCUGUUCCUGUUUUUGAUUGAAGUAGUUAUAGAUUAGAUUUUUAAAUGCAUGGGAUACCGAUAUCUUUGCCUUUUGUGUAGAAUUUUGACUAAGGACAAUGUAUUCUUUCAAGUACCUCCAACUCUAAAUGAUCUAAUUUUGUUCUAUGUGAUUUCUAAAUAACUACUGAUAUGUGUUACUAUCGGUGUAUUUUUUGUAUCUGAAAACUGAAUUUUGUGUUUAAUCUUUUGUUGCUGCUUAAAGGAUUUGGGUGGUGUAUUUGCCUUGGAAAGAGUUAGGACAAAGGAACUGUCACACUGAAUUGGAGCUAGUAACAAUUCUUCUCCAAAACUAGUUUUUCUUAUGAUUACAUGUCAGAUAAAAGCCAGACAUAGCGGGAGUCAAACCUGAAGCAUGCUCUUCUAAACUGAAACCAUCAAUAGCAUUCAAACUUAACUUGGCCAACCUUUUUUAAAAUAUUUGUUUAACUCUUACCUUGGGAAUCAGACUUAAUUCAAGAUCCAAAGGUUGCAGAAAACAAAUAGUGUUCUGUUCUUUCAAGAUUUGCAUAUUUGCAAUUGCAGUAGAUAUCCACAUGCCCAUUACUGGGAAUUUUUAAGUAAUCGAUUAUGGAUGUCAUCUGCCCUAGCAUUAAGCUCAGGGAUUUUUGGAAGGGAAGGGUAGGUCAUAAGUGUCAUACAGUGAACAAUCCUUAAUAGAACUGCUGUUGAUAGGUAAUCGAUGGGAUCAGAAAGGUUAAUCUCCCUUAAAAAGGAGCAGAAGAUAAAGUGGGAAUCCAUGCUGACAACUACGUUAAACACUUAAUUAACCAGGAUUACUUAGAGAAGACAGGAACUUCCAACAAAAAUCAUGCUACUUGGGAAAAGAAAUGGUGAGAGGACAAAGAAGCACAGGACAUCCAAAUCCCUUUCUUUAAUCAACAUAUAUCAGGAUACCUUUCUAGAUGUUUAAAAGGCUCUCUACUGAGGGGUGGAGCAGACACUGCAUAUAUAGAAAAAGCCUCAGCUGUAUGAAGACACGGCUGACGAGCCGUGUGGGCUUCUUUCCUCGCUCCAGCUGCGCCACGGUUCCUGCUGCAUGAUACGAGUGAGAGGAGAAGGGGAGACAAGAACAGGAUGCCAUUAUUUCUACAUGGAUGCUUCACCAAGUAGAGAUGCUGCUUUACGAAUCAAAUCCUGGAGAGUUGGUUUCCGUGGGUAUACAGCAUUUGAUAGGCCAGCAUUUUCAUCUCAGCCUAGGCCAGUUGUGACUGACAGCUAUAACCACCUGACAGCUAUUCUAUAGCUUGUGUGUGUCAGAAAAAAAAAAAAAAAAAAAAAAAAAGACCGACCAAUCCGCA